UACGUAGGGUGCAAGCGUUGUCCGGAAUUAUUGGGCGUAAAGAGCUUGUAGGUGGUUUGUCGCGUUGGUCGUGAAAACCGGGGGCUUAACCCUCGGCGUGCGGGCGAUACGGGCAGACUUGAGUACUGCAGGGGAGACUGGAAUUCCUGGUGUAGCGGUGGAAUGCGCAGAUAUCAGGAGGAACACCGGUGGCGAAGGCGGGUCUCUGGGCAGUAACUGACGCUGAUGCGCGAAAGCGUGGGGAGCAAACAGG
rnacentral:rRNA from 1 species